AGCAGCAGCAGCAGCAGCCUGGUGGGGAGCUGCCGGGAGAACGGUCGUGGUUUUGCAAAGAAAUAGCACACCUCAGAAAUGGAAAGAAAGGAGAGAGAAGUGGUUUUCUCUGUUGUUUCCAUUGGCAAAAGAAUAGCAAAUAGACUGUGAUGUAACAUUAUUAAUAUUGCUCAUGGAAGAGGAUAUAUUUCAACAAAGUAAUUCCAGAGGAUCAAAGAAGAUUGGCUAAUUGAAGGUCAAGCAGUUAAAAAAUGUGCCCUCAGGACCCUUUUUGUCCCUCGAGUUCAUCAGAUUCUUUGCAGGUUAAGUCUCUCUCAUGUUAAGAAGACCCCGAGACUUUGGCUGGUCUCUGCACUUCUCAGCACAGCACCACUGUGGGUGUGUUACAUAAAUUGCCACAAUGGAGUGUAUUUCAGAUCCUUCAGCUCAGAGGCCAUCUGUCAUUGAGAGUGGCACAUUCACCUGCUCGUCACUUCUGCAGCAGUGUGUGCGCUAGACAGGGUACAUCCAGAUGAAGUUAACAACAGGAGCAGCUCUUGAUACAGCUGAGUUUGGAAAGACUUAGUAAUCAAGUCACUCUUUCAGAUGGGAGCAAACACCACAAAUAGCUCGCUCUUUCUAUCCAAGAGAACACCAAGUGCUUUCUGCUUUGCUUCAGAAAAGAGCAAACUAGUUCCCUAAGGGCUGUUUUUCUGCUUAGUAGAAUCCAGCAUCGCCUCCGUGGGCACUUCUCUACUGUGCCUGACCUGCAGGUAAUCACAGAACUCUAAUAAGAAAAUUGUCCUCAAGUCCUUGGAUAGAUCCAGACAGGAUUCAGCAUUUUUAUAAGUAUCGACUUAUCUAUGUCUCACCAUUUCCCUUCCACCUUUGUAUUUCCUUGAACUCUGAGGAAGUGGAAGUAAGCCAGGGCAUGCUGUUGACCACUUCUCCUAAUGUUAUUUGUCUGGAGUGGUUUUUGGCUUGAGAAUAUGUUCACAUUUCUGUAUUGGUCUAACUUUCCCUUGUUCCGUGUUUAAUGCAAACUGUGUAAGUUGUUGAAGGAGGAACUUGACAGUGUGGAUGUGUGCUGACAAUUUGCGCCAAGAAUUCCGACUAUGGGUCAGAGAUUUUUUCUUUCUAAUCAGUGACAAUGUACGUAACCUUUCUGUCUACUCUCAGUGUUCUUGUCUGUAAUAUGAGGUUUUACUUGCCUGCCUCACAGGCAUGUGGAAGCUUAAUUAGUGUAGGUAAUAAAUGCUAAGUAUUAUUUUAGAAGAUCUAUUGCAUUCUAAAAUGAUCAAGUUUGGAUCUUAAUUCACAGCUUUAUGGGCUAAGGUUCAGUAUUGAUUACCUUAGAUUUUCACAAAGCCUCUCCUGAAUUUAAUAAGGGAUUUAACAAAAUAACUCUUGAAAAUACUUAUGAUUCAUCUUAAUAAAAAGCUAACUUGUACUUGCAUAAAACUAGUAGAGCUUUGCACAUAAUCAGAGUUUUCUUGAAUGACAGUCUUUGAAAUGCAAAUGUUGUACAGGUCUUCCCCUUCUGAAGAAUAUAUGCUUGUUAUUGUAUUAACAUAUGUAAAAUGUUUUUCUUCAGAUAUUUUCUUAAAUUAUUUUCUUCGGGCUCCAGUAUAAAGGAAGAGCAUAAUUUUAAAAUCACACUCACUUGGCAUUCCUUCAACAUUUCCUAAGUAAAAACAAAUUACAUGGUAAAAA